UGGGGAAUCUUCCGCAAUGGACGAAAGUCUGACGGAGCAACGCCGCGUGUAUGAUGAAGGUCUUCGGAUUGUAAAGUACUGUCAUUGGGGAAGAACGGUUUUCUUGAAAAGAUUGAGAAGACAUGACGGUACCCAAGGAGGAAGCCCCGGCUAACUACGUGCCAGCAGCCGCGGUAAUACGUAGGGGGCAAGCGUUGUCCGGAAUUAUUGGGCGUAAAGGGCGCGUAGGCGGGCCUUUAAGUCCGGUGUGAAAGAUCAGGGCUCAACCCUGAGAGUGCAUCGGAAACUGGAGGCCUUGAGGACAGGAGAGGAAAGUGGAAUUCCACGUGUAGCGGUGAAAUGCGUAGAUAUGUGGAGGAACACCAGUGGCGAAGGCGACUUUCUGGACUGUAACUGACGCUGAGGCGCGAAAGCGUGGGGAGCAAAACAGGAUUAGAUACCCUGGUAGUCCACGCCGUAAACGAUGAGUGCUAGGUGUAGAGGGUAUCGACCCCCUUCUGUGCCGCAGUUAACACAAUAAAGCACUCCCGCCUGGGGAGUACGGCCGCAAGAUUAAAAACUU
rnacentral:rRNA from 1 species